GGAAGGGUCGCAUAGUGGCCUAGUGCGUCGGUUUCGAAAACCGAUAAAGGCGCAAGCCUUUCGUGGGUUCGACUCCCACCCCUUCCG
rnacentral:tRNA from 1 species